CUUCUACUACAACAACAACAAUAACAACAACAAUUAUUACUUUUUCUUCUUCUUCUUUUUCCUCCUCCUCUUCUUCUUCUUCUUCUUCUUCUUCUUUUUCUUCUACUUGUACUACUGUUACUACUAAUACUUCUACUACUGUCACUGCUCGAUCAUAUUAAAUAAUCGGUGUCGACACACUGACAAUUAUUCUUCUUUACUAUUACUACUACUACUACUACUACUACUACUACUACUACUACUACUACUACUACUACUAUUACUAUUACUAUUAAUACUACGACGACCCAGACGACGAAAUUAGUAACAACCGGCAACAGAAACAAGCAGAGAACCACAGGAAUAACGACGACGACAAUCGUGACCGAGGACUCUAUUAUACGAGAACGUCGUUAUCGUGCCGGUUUGAAAAAAAAGGAUCUCUUUGGGAAUCCUGGACUGUCGGUGGUUCUUCUUCUUCGUGACUGAGAAAGGAGUAAAAGGAAAGGAAAAAAAGAGGAAAAGGAAGGAGAGUGCAGUGCGUAUCUACUUACCUGUUUUAUAUCCUCCUCCCCUGCCACGUCAUGCAUGGCCGGUGAAAGUUCGCUUCAACGAGUGCAUUGAUCUACUGAAGUUAAGAGAGCAGAGGAACGCAGGUGACGUAAAUCGAGACGACGGCGUACCGGAGAGAGAAAGCUUCGAGGAAGCUAGAGGAGGAGGAGGAGGAGGAGGAGGAGGAGGAGGAGGAGGA